rnacentral:rRNA from 1 species
UGGGGAAUAUUGCACAAUGGGGGAAACCCUGAUGCAGCGACGCCGCGUGAGCGAAGAAGGCUUUCGAGUCGUAAAGCUCUGUCCUAUGAGAAGAUAAUGACGGUAUCAUAGGAGGAAGCCCUGGCUAAAUACGUGCCAGCAGCCGCGGUAAUACGUAUGGGGCGAGCGUUGUCCGGAAUUAUUGGGCGUAAAGGGUACGUAGGCGGUUUUUUAAGUCAGGUGUCAAAGCGUGGAGCUUAACUCCAUUAAGCACUUGAAACUGAAAGACUUGAGUGAAGGAGAGGAAAGUGGAAUUCCUAGUGUAGCGGUGAAAUGCGUAGAUAUUAGGAGGAAUACCGGUGCGAAGGCGACUUUCUGGACUUUUACUGACGCUCAGGUACGAAAGCGUGGGGAGCAAACAGG